AGAUGAUCCAGCAGGCAGUCCCACCUUCCACCGUUGAGCCUCACAGGAUGACUACUCCAAAGAUGACCCAGCAGCCAGUCUCAUCCUCCACCGUUGAGCCUCAGCAGAUGACUACUCCAAAGAUGAUCCAGCAGCCAGUCCCACCUUCCACUGUUGAGCCUCACAGGAUGACUACUCCAAAG